AUUGAACGCUGGCGGCAGGCCUAACACAUGCAAGUCGAACGAGUGGCGGACGGGUGAGUAAUGUCUGGGAAACUGCCUGAGGGAGGGGGAUAACUACUGGAAACGGUAGCUAAUACCGCAUACCAUCGGAUGUGCCCAGAUGGGAUGAGCUUGUUGGUGGGGUAAAGGCUCACCAAGGCGACGAUCCCUAGCUGGUCUGAGAGGAUGACCAGCCACACUGGAACUGAGACACGGUCCAGACUCCUACGGGAGGCAGCAGUGGGGAAUAUUGCACAAUGGGCGAAAGCCUGAUACAGCCAUGCCGCGUGUGUGAAGAAGGCCUUCGGGUUGUAAAGUACUUUCAGCGGGGAGGCGUUACCCACAGAAGAAGCACCGGCUAACUCCGUGCCAGCAGCCGCGGUAAUUC
rnacentral:rRNA from 1 species